UAACAAGGAUAUCCCUUGUAACGGCGAGUGAAGCGGGAAUAGCUCAAAUUUGAAAUCUCACAGGGUUACCUGUGCGAAUUGUAGUUUAGAGAAGCGUUUUCGGGGGCAGCUUGGGUACAAGUCCUUUGGGAUGAGGCAUCAUAGAGGGUGAGAAUCCCGUUUAUGACCCAAUGUUUGCUCCUAUGUGAUACGCUUUCCAAGAGUCAGGUAGUUUGGGAUUGCUGCCUAAAAUGGGUGGUAAAUACCAUCUAAAGCUAAAUAUUGGCGAGAGACCGAUAGCGAACAAGUACCGUGAGGGAAAGAUGAAAAGAACUUUGAAAAGAGAGUUAAACAGUACGUGAAAUUGCCAAAAGGGAAACGCUUGGGGCCAGUAUUGCUUGCAGGUAAUCAUCUGCACGAUCCUGAAAAGGUUAGUGCAGUGCACUUGCUUGCAGGCAGGUCAACAUCAGUUUGGUCUGGGGUAAAAAGCCAGAGGAAGGUAGCUUGGGCUUCGGUCUGAGUGUUAUAGCCUCUGGUCAUGCCUUGGACUGGACUGAGGUCU
rnacentral:rRNA from 1 species